rfam:Marine metagenome 1096626560465, whole genome shotgun sequence.
GGGAGUAGGAGGGUCGCUGACAGUGCCAGACACUGAGGAAAGUCCCCUCUCCAAGAUGCAAGCGGUCCGGUGCAAGCCGGAGGUCCGGGAGGGUCGGCUCUGCAAUAGAAACGUCCCGCGCCAGGCGCACGAUGAUCCCGAAAGGGUGAGGUUUCCUGACCGCGGCUGGAACGAGCAACCCCGCUGGAGCAAGUCCAAGCAGGCCCAUAGUGCAUCGACAGGGCCGGGUAGGAUGCAUAGUUGAAUGCGACCAGCUGAAAGGUGAACAGAAAGGGGCUUACUCCCUACACCC